AUUGAACGCUGGCGGCAGGCUUAACACAUGCAAGUCGAGCGGGGGAAGGUAGCUUGCUACCGGACCUAGCGGCGGACGGGUGAGUAAUGCUUAGGAAUCUGCCUAUUAGUGGGGGACAACAUCUCGAAAGGGAUGCUAAUACCGCAUACGUCCUACGGGAGAAAGCAGGGGAUCUUCGGACCUUGCGCUAAUAGAUGAGCCUAAGUCGGAUUAGCGAGUUGGUGGGGUAAAGGCCUACCAAGGCGACGAUCGGUAGCGGGUCUGGGAGGAUGAUCCGCCACACGGGGACUGGGACCCGGCCCAGACUCCUACGGGAGGCAGCCGUGGGGAAUAUUGGACAAUGGGGGGAACCCUGAUCCAGCCAUGCCGCGUGUGUGAAGAAGGCCUUAUGGUUGUAAAGCACUUUAAGCGAGGAGGAGGCUCUUUUGGUUAAUACCCAAGAUGAGUGGACGUUACUCGCAGAAUAAGCACCGGCUAACUCUGUGCCAGCAGCCGCCGUAA
rnacentral:rRNA from 1 species